UGUGGUGGUGGUGGCGGUGAUGGUGGUGGUGGUUGUUUAUGCAUCAUCGAAAAAAAAAGAUUUUCCAUUCCAUUACCUAUUUGUUGAUGUAAAACAAUGUUAAACAUUGAAAACGAACAAAUUCUUAUGCAUAUCAUCAUCAUCAUCA